rnacentral:lncRNA from 10 species
AUCUAAACAAGUCAUAGAGGUGGUGGGACUCUCAACGCUGACAUCCAGAUUUCUGCUUAGGUAGCUGGAUACACCAAGGUGUGGGAUGGUGCUUGUUCAUCUGUAUUUUACCAGAGCUCCAGAAGUAAUUUAACUGUGUAUUCAAGUUUAAGGACCACUGUUUGAAAAGAGCAAAAUGUUUAAGGUAAGGCUGGUAGCUAAAUUUCAACAGUGUAGGCAGCCACCACAAUUCAAGAACAGCCCGUUAAUUGGGACAGAAUAGAAACUGACCCCAGGAUUUGAAAGCAGCUGUAGCAGAAGAACUCAAGCCAGGAAGGCUAAUGAAAUGUGAUGACGAUGAAGGAAGCCCUUUCAAAGGAUGUGGUAUAACUGAGCAACACUCAGGAACUGAAGAAGAGAGAGGCUCCUGCAACUCAGCAAUCCUAGAGAUUUGGAAGGGGACAAGGCACAGAACAAAAGAAUGUUUGAGCAAAGGCAUUAGAUAAUCUUGCAAGGUCUAGAGGCAGGGCCCUAGGUGGCAACAGAUUCUACCACCAGGCUACGGACAAUAUGCAUACAGAUAUCUUCCAAAAUAUAGACAUUUUCUGUUAUUUCAGCUCUCCUGACACACGUGGAAAACAACUCACCAGCAGUGUCAUUUUGGGAUAUAGAAAGCAAAGAGACAUAACACCCUUCAACAAGAAUCUUGGCAGCAUCAGUAAUCUCAACACGUAUUAAAAAUACCAGCAAGUGCUUGAUUUCCUGAGGGAUAGUUAUGCAGAAAAGGGUGACCAGCUGUUCUCCCUUUCCCAGAGGAUGUGAGCUUAAGUGGCAAUACAGGGGAUGCAGGUUAUCAUAAGGAGAUACUUCUGCCAAGAAAGUCUUGAGAUGCAGACACUAAAAUGGAUUAUCACGAGAAGCUGAGGAAGGCCAGAGGGAGCUGUCUCCUGGGGUGGGGCCCAUUGCACUCAGAGCUCUUCUUGCUUCCCUGAGAUAGUCCCUGGUAUCUCUGCAAACUCCAUCGAAGGAAGCAGACGUGGAACAGUUUCUAAUACGUGGUUUGCCAAAACAUUGAGGACUUGAGGGAAUGAGGCACAGAGCCUGUUAGGUUUAAAUAAUCCUCUGACGGCUCCCCUGGGAACUCCCUAACAAUCCAAAUUAGAGCAUGCAUGCAAGCAAUCUAUUCUUGAGUAUUUAAUAAAGGAUGUUCCAGUUGGUGGAUUUCCGUGACCCUUCGCUUCUUUUUUCUACCUACUUUUAAUCAUUUCACUGCCUUUUAGCACUUCCACCAAGUGAUGGUAGAUGGAAACUGGAGAGAAAAACUCAAGUCAGUUUUGCUAUAGGUUAGCAGCUCUGCUAUAGGAAGUGGCCUCCUAAAACUCAGAGGGACAAAAGCCUGCUUAAUAAACACAGUAAAGGGAAUGCCGUCUAUCUGAAGUCUCCCCAGAAACAGUGUGGUGUAAGAAAGAUGGCACAGGAUUGACAGUUGGUCAACUUCAUUCUCGUACAAAUUGAAUCUCCGUUCAUCACUGGUAAGACUGAGAUAAAACCCUUUACCUAGUGGGGUCCUGGUAGGAACCAAAUAAGCUAAUAAAUGCUCAGUGUGGAACACUCUCUCCCUGUGCUGUUAGUGCUGCUAAACCACAGAACCCUGGCUCAUCCUUUAAACAGAAUCCUGAAGGACCCCAAAACCAGGUCUAAGGGGAGGAAGAAUAAAUGAAGAAGAAAGGAGCAGUGAAAGGCAGAAAUGUAGGAGCUGAAUCAAUAGCACACAGACUGCUGGGGCUGUUGCAUCUCUAAAGCUAUUGCCUACUACUGGUACUACUACCACCACCACUAUUAUUGGGAGUUUAUUAAGGACUUGCUGUAUGCCAAAGACUCAAGUAUAUGGCCUCUGAUCAUCUAACUAGUAAGUGCAGAUCCUGGAUCAGAACCGAAAUAUGCCUGAAUUCAAAGCCCAUGCAUUUGUUACACCCUGGAUGAUGGUGAACAAAGACUAGAUUCCAGUGAAGGAAUGCUAUGUGUUUCUAACUUUUUUUAACGGUUUUUUUUUUAAUUCUCCAUGCAGACUCUCACUAAGUGAGGUUCCCUAAGCUUGCUCUUACUCCCUGUAAUCUGACAGAGCCUGAAUAUACAACUUGAGUUCCCCCAUGUGUUUGCUCCUGACCUCUAUUUGAUAGAGCAAUCUCUUAAGUAGAAACUGGUUUCUGGACAUCUUCACGCUAGCAUGGUUAUUUAAUACUAUGAAUCUCCCUCUGUACACUGCUUUAACUGCAUCUCACAGAUUUCGAUAAUUUUUGUUCCAUUUUUCUAAUUUCCCUUUGGAUUUCCUCUCUGACUUAUUAUUUAGAUGUAUAUUGUUUAAUUUUCAACAGUUUGGAGAUUUUACUAUUGUCUUCCUGUUAUUGAUUUCUAAUUUAAUUUCAUUAUGGUUGGAAAAUACACUUUGUUUGAUUUUAUUUCUUUUAAGUUGUUGUUUAUUUUAUGACCAAGGAUAUAAUCUAUCUUGAUAAAUGUCCAUGUGUUCUUGAAAGGUAUGUGUAUUCUGUUAUUGUUAGAUAGUAUCAGUUAAAUCCAUUUGUUAGAUAAGUAUCAGUUAAAUCCAUUUGGCUGUGGUAUUAUAUUUGUUCCUCUUUUUCCCUGCUGAUUUUAUUUCUACCUUUUUACUGAUUACUGAAAGAGAUGUCAAAGUCUUUAACUAUAAUUUCUCCUCCUAUUUCUCUUACCUUUAUUUUGACAUUAUGUUGUUAGGUAUAUAAAUGCUUAGGCUAUUAUGUUUAUCUGUGAUUUUAUCAUUAUGUAGUGUCUCUCUUUAUCCCUAGUAAUUUUACUUACUGUGAAGUGUACUUUAUCUGAUAUUUAUAUAGCCACA